rnacentral:rRNA from 1 species
UACGUAGGGGGCAAGCGUUGUCCGGAUUUAUUGGGCGUAAAGAGCGUGUAGGCGGUUAGGUAGGUCCGUUGUGAAAACUCGAGGCUCAACCUCGAGACGCCGAUGGAAACCAUCUAACUAGAGUCCGGAAGAGGAGAGUGGAAUUCCUGGUGUAGCGGUGAAAUGCGCAGAUAUCAGGAAGAACACCCGUGGCGAAGGCGGUUCUCUGGGACGGUACUGACGCUGAGACGCGAAAGCGUGGGGAGCGAACAGG